rnacentral:misc_RNA from 1 species
AUCAGGUUUAGGAGUUCCCUGCUGG